GCGCCCCACCCUGGACUCGCGCGGCUUUCACUGCGGCUGUGCGGGCUCGGUGCCCGCUAAGCGCGCGCUCGGUCGAGUCGCGUCGGCGAUUUCUCCGUUCAGUCAAGUUCUCUCGAGGCGGCUGUGCAGUCUACGCUCUCUGGACAGGCACUGAGCUGGGGACUUGCCGAGGUGACCGCGCACCGGGAUUCACCGGGACAGACAAGCACAGUGAGGACAGCGUGUGCAGCAGCGCGUGGACCAGGGACUGUUUCAAGUGGAUGGAGAACCAUGACCAUUUUUGUACAAAAAUCCUGUUGAAGAAUCACAUCAAAGAUGAGAAGCAGGGAGUUCCAAGGUAAACAUUUGGUGACGUGUAGAAAAUUCCAUGAGCCUCCUGUACCAACUCCACAGAAGUCCUGGCUUUUGGUGAAUCUGGCCCAGAGUCCCAGAGGGGCUACCAGUGUGUGUGUGUGUGUGUGUGUGUGUGUGUGUGUGUGUGUGUGUGUGUGGCGUCUGGGAGUGGUGGCGCCCGCGCCGCGAGAGCACACCCAUGCUGGGGUGGCCGCACUCGGGAGCAGGCCAAGUGAGUGCGGAGAGCUGGGCUGUGGGCCGCUGUGCUCCAAGUCGGUGUUGGUGGGUAUAAAAGAUGUUUUAGCAUUUAGAGGAAGGAAAAAAUCUUCCUGGGGACAGAAACUUGUAGCCGUUUCCAGAAGGAAGUCUCAAAGGGCGCGUGGGCACCGUGGCAGGAGGGCCGGCGGGCAGCGGCAGUGUGCUCAAUGAGGUGGUCUCCGUAUGCCAGUGUCCGUUGGGAGGGGCUUUUGGGGGCGUUUCUCCACAUUGCUGCAAAGACAGCUCCUUAAGUUCUAGCUUGUCUGCUCCUUCCUCCUUCUUGUUGUGCCGAGGUGACAAGUUUAAUAGACUGAGGACAUCUCUCUUGGAAGUCAUCGUUCCAGGGGUCCCCCGGAAUAUUUUCAUUGGUCCCGUGGAAUGCUGGGGUGUGCUCUGCCAAAACAUCUUCAGGUUGUGUACAGCCUGCACCUUCUCGUCGAUGGCUGCCAUCUUCAGCUUGUCUAUGUCAGGAGCGUCAGCUGGACUCGAGCGAGCGGAGCCAGCUGAGGAAUAGGAGAGAGCUGGGGACGGUGCACUUCCAGCAGGAGACUGGUGGCCUGAGCUCGGGGACAUGUUCCUUGGUGAUUUGGAAAUGUGAGCACUGUAAGGAGAGCUGGGAUACUUCAGCUUAAAGAGAGGCUGGUCGGUCAGGGAAGUCUGGGAGUCGGAGCCGGGCGACGGCCGGCCACUGUGCUGGCUCGGGCUGUCUUUGAUGGACGCCUCUGAGGUGGUGGGGCUGCUGUAUCCUGAACUCACCUUGGGUAGGGAAGAGCUUCUGGCUGGGGGCUUUGGUUUGAUAGUAACUGGCGACAGCUGGCUCUUCUGGUGGGAGAGGGCAGGCCUGCUGAACGCACUUGUUUCUGAUGCUCUGAAGACAGCAGCGCUGUUGGGCACGGAAAUGCCAUCUUCAGGAUUAGUGCCCUUACCUUGACCACCGCCCCUCUGAAGACGUUCCACCGCAAUGAGAUGGCUUUGUGUCUCCUCUAGAAUCUUCUGGGCCAACUCUUGUGGAUCAAGCUUUGGGUUGCUUUCUUCUUGGGAUUUCACGGUACUAUCUGUUUCUGUGCUAGACUGGUCUGAUUCUCCCGUAUCUGAACUUGCUAGUUUUCCAACCUUCUGGAAGGGUGAGUUUGGGCUGGGAAUCAGAGUCAUUUUAACUGGAGAGUUUGGAGUGCUUAUGCUCCCCUUGGAGCUUACCGAAACUUUCACACCGCCAGCUGCCCCGACUCGGGACUGUUUGUGAUCUGGUGAGAAGCGAGUCUUUCUGUUUUCUUGGUAGGCCGCCAAAGGCUCAGUGCUGAUGAUGGAAAACCCUUCAUAUUCUUCUUCGUCUUUGCUGUCUGCAGGGCGGGUCGGGGGGGACAGCUGGCUCCGAGGCAGGGUGGAUCGCUGUGGGAAGGCGUUCUUGGACCGGUCAUAGUCCUGCCUUCCUCGAGGACCUCCGCCCUCUGACCCACCCUCAGGCUUGGAGACAAAGCUCAUUGAGGAGGCGAUGGAGCUCAGACUGUACACAGAGAUGGCGUCUGAGGCUAUGCUCUCUGCACCGGUGGGAGAGAAAGGAGGGUGCUGGUAGCCCAAGGGCAGAGCAUUGGAGACAGACUGGGCUGAGGCCAGAGACUCCAGGGAGGACGAGCUGUCAAGGCUGAGGCGCUUGGGCAGCUCAGUGGAAUCUAAGACAAAACAUAGGCGCCCAGAGGACAGUUAGAAUUCUGUACGGUUUUGAUUUUUCUUUCACAAGCAUCCUUAUAUGCAUAGAAGCUAGCAAAGCAUUAUGCAAGUGUUACUUAUACACAACUUGAAUUCAUCUUAUAAGCCUGAAAAACACAGUCCUGUUGGAAAAAGUAAAUCUUACACUGGGGACAAAAACACCCCGAGAGCGCGCACAGCCCCGCACGCUGCGGACCCCACCAUGCGCCCAUCUCCACUCUGCUCCCUAUCUCAUGGGACUCCAUGGCGGCCUCCUGCUCUGAAUGGGGGGACGAUCUGUGAUGCCCCCUGUCCUAAACCCUCACCCGCCAUCCCUUCCAGCUCCGGCCCCAUCGCUCCACAUCCCAGCGACCUCCUCGGAGUCACUUACACUCCUCUCCGCACGGCCUCUCCUCCCAGCUGCUCUUAACCCACUCCAGUCAGGCUUUCGUCCUCCCCAGUUCAUGUAAAGGUUAACAGUGGCCACCAAAUCUGGUAGUCUACACAGUCAAUCACACCCGACCCUCGUGGACUGAUCCUUCCCAGGCCCCUCCUUAUCUCUGUGACCUUUGACCCCAGGAGUGCCCACAGGACACAGUCCUCUUCCCCUCGGACCUGUGUGCACAUUUAUGUCUCCACACUGGACUCGUCUAACCAGCUGCCUAUGAAGGUGUCCAAGAGGGAACUCAGACCCAUCCCAUUCCUUCUGCCACUUUCAAGGUCUCAGCAAAGGCAGCCCCAUUCUGGCAGCUGUUCCAAAGAACAGGAUAUCACCUCUGGCCCUCUCUCUCUGAGCACAUUCAUCAGCAGGCCCUGUUGGUUGCCUUCAAGCCUUGGCCACCAUCCGAGCCAGCAUUUAGCCUCACUUGGCCUCUUGAGAAUGGCAGGCAGGCUUGCCCCAGGGUCUGAAAAGUGCCUCGCAGGCCCAGCUCUGGGCACCACUGCUCCCUCAUCACCUCUGCUGCGAUGCCACCCUCACUUCCUUAGUCCCUUAAUUUGCACGUUUUCUGCAGAGCACAUGGUGGCACCUCAUCUAACAUAUACUACAUGUAUGCUCAUCGUAAGUUGAGUUCCACGAGAGCAGGGAGUUUGUUUACUUGAACAUUCCCUAACACACAAAAAAGGUUCGUUCCCUUAAUUCUUCCUCUUCCCAAACCAUAAUCAGGGUCAUGCCCGUGGCUCCUGGGGGCCACUUGGGGUGGCGCCACACGGAGCUCUUACCGAAGAGUGCGAGCAGGGCUUGGAGCGCAAAGUGCAUGGUCCGUCGGUUGGCUUGUUUCCCGGUUUUCAGGAUUACUUCCUCCUGACCAACCUCACAGAGAUCAAAACCUAUAGAAACAAAGAAUAUAAACACCUGCUUCCUUAGGGAAGAUUCCAUGUCCUAAAAAGGAUUAGGGCUCCUCAUACAGUCCCAGGGGAACCCCUGCAGACCCCUCAGGAAGCCCCGCCUGGGCCCCCCACCUGCACAUCAAUCAAUCAUGUGAACGUCAAGUCACGUGAACCAACGGGGGCCAGCUCUGCGACCAUCACACCUGCUCAGCAUGGCUCCCCCUUGCUGUGUGUGGACCUCUGUCCCUUCGUAGAGCGCUGAACUGCAUUCUCCAGAGGGGAGGGUGGGAAUUAGUAAGGCUCAUUAACA